rnacentral:lncRNA from 1 species
GAGAUGGGGAAGGCGGUUCUUGGACCAAUGGGGUUAUGUUCCAGAGGGGAUUAUGGCUGCCUCUAUCACCAGGGAAGUGGGGGAAAGCUGGUAGCAAUAGACCUCACCCAGCUCCCAUCCAGUUGGCAAGGCUGUUCUCACUCUCAACAUACCCAACUAACAGUGCAAGUUUAUCUCCAGGCAGCCUGUGCACAGGACUCAGACCUAGUCCCAAGCUUUAAGUUUCACCCGCUAAGAAAGUAAGCAUGGCUUUCAGCCAUACCCCUCCCCAUCCGCCCUCACUGUCAGCUGUGACUCCUGCUCUCCUUUCUGCAGUAGUUCCCAUUUGCCCUGGAUUCUGCUCAAGAGAGUUUGUGCCCAGUCAAAGUUAUUAUAAAGUUUAGCCGGAAACUACUUUCACCCUGUGACCCCUCCCAAAUUCCACUGGCUGCAUUUCCCGAGGGCCUCUGUGAGAUAUAGUCAGGGAUGGCUUCCCUGGGCUCAAGCGGGAGAAUGGAAGUGCCUACAAGGCUCUUCUCACUACUUUCAUAUUUCACACUAAGUCUGUUUCAGGUUUAAGUAAGGAAUUUGCAGCAGCCUACUACUUCUUUCAAAUGAUCUGUGAAUUCUUUUGGUUUUCCUGGUACAUUCCUGUGGUUGUUCCUAGAGCAAAAGUCCAUGGUGUGCCGGGAUUGCAGACGGAGUCUGGUUCACUAAGUGCUCAAUGGUGCCCAGGCUGGAGUGCAGUGGCGUGAUCUCGGCUUGCUACAACCUCCACCUCCCAGCCGCCUGCCUUGGCCUCCCAAAGUGCCGAGAGUGCAGCCUCUGCCCAGCUGCCACCCUGUCUGGGAAGUGAGGAGCAUCUCUGCCUGGCCGCCCAUCGUCUGGGACGUGAGGAGCCCCUCUGCCUGGCUGCCCAGUCUGGAAAGUGAGGAGCGUCUCUGCCCGGCUGCCAUCCCAUCUAGGAAGUGAGGAGCACCUCUUCCCGGCCGCCAUCCCAUCUAGGAAGUGAGGAGCGUCUCUGCCCGGCCACCCAUCGUCUGAGAUGUGGGGAGCGCCUCUGCCCCGCCGCCCCGUCUGGGAUGUGAGGAGCACCUCUGCCCGGCCGCAACCCCAUCUGGGAGGUGAGGAGCGUCUCUGCCCUGCCGCCCCGUCUGAGAAGGGAGGAGACCCUCCGCCUGGCAACCGCCCCAUCUGAGAAGUGAGGAGCCCCUCCGCCCGGCAGCCGCCCCAUCUGAGAAGUGAGGAGCCCCUCCGCCCGGCAGCCGCCCCAUCUGAGAAGGUUAAAUGGAUUAAGGGCGGUGCAAGAUGUGCUUCGUUAAACAGAUGUUUGAAGGCAGCAUGCUCGUUAAGAGUCAUCACCACUCCCUAAUCUCAAGUACCCAGGGACACAAACACUGGGGAAGGCCGCAGGGUCCUCUGCCUAGGAAAACCAGAGACCUUUGUUCACUUGUUUAUCUGCUGACCUUCCCUCCACUAUUGUCCUAUGACCCUGCCAAAUCCCCCUCUGUGAGAAACACCCAAGAAUGAUCAAUAAAAAAUAAAUAAAUAAAUAAAUAAAUAAAUAAAUAAAUAAAUAAACAAAAAACAAAAAAAACUAAUACACAAACACACACAUUAGCCUAUGCCUAAACAAGGGCAGGAUUAUCAAUAUCACUGUCUUCCACCUCUACAUCUUAUCCCACUAGAAGAUCUUCAGGGGCAGUAAUAUGCAUGAAGCUGUCAUCUCUUAUAACAAUGUCGUCUGAAACACCUUCUUUUUUAUAAAAGACCAUGAGGUCUGCAGGGGAAAGACAAAGGAGAGCUUUAUUUUCUAAAAAUGAGCAAUCUGCAGAUUGGGAGAGGAAGCCUCUGAUAUAAAAAGAAAGCAUGCUCUGGAGAACAAAAAGGGGUUCUGGCUUAAAUAGGGAAAGGUCCUGCUCCAGUCCUCAAUCAGGUCCGUAUACGCAAAUGAGGAACUCAAACUCAUUCAGUCCUGAUUAGUUGAAAACAGUUGAGUCCCAAUUUGGUAGUUUCCAAGCCCAAACCAGAAGUCUCUGCUGGAUGCCCCUUUCAAGUGGUUGGUGGGAGUUUUCCCUACCACAGUGUCUCAGCUCAGAGAGUUUCCCUCUACAGGAUCAAAUGGGGUGUGACUGCCCUGCUCUCACUCACGAUGGCUGUUGGGUUAGUUUCACUCCAUAUCCUGAAAAGCCUGCCUGAGGCUGUUUCACAGUUAACUCUUUUUCAGAAGUAGAAGUCCACUUUAAAAUAAAGAUAAAAACCAUAGUAAAUACACAAACCUGUAACAGAGUUGUUUAUUAUCAAGUGUUAUGCACUGUACAUAAUUCUAUGCACUAGACUUACACAACUGGCAGCACAGUAGGUUUGUUUACACCAGCAUCAUAACAAGCACAUGAGUAAUGCAUUGCACAAUGUUACAACAGUUACACAUCACCGAGCAAUAGGAAGUGUUCAGCUUCAUUAUAACCUUAUGUGUCUGUCAUUGACCAAAUGUCAUUAAGCAGCGCAUUAUACCAUGUUUUGUUUAUACAUUCACGUUUGUUCAAAUCAAAUUUUAUUUUAUUUAUUUUUUGAGACAGAGUCUUGCUCUGUCAUCCAGGCUGGAGUGCAGUGGUGUGAUCUUGGCUCACUGCAACUUCUGUCUCCUGGGUUCAAGCAAUUCUCCUGCCUCAGCCUCCCGAGUAACUGGAAUUACAAGCAUGCGCCACCACUCCUGGCAAAUUUUUGUAUUUUUCACAGAGAUGGGGUUUCGCCAUGUUGGCCAGGCUGGUCUUGAACUCCUGGCCUUAAGUGAUCCACUCGCCUCAGCCUCCCUAAAGUGCUGGGAUUAUAGACAUGAGCCAGCCGAGAAAGUUCUUUAUUUUGAUGGUGGGGUGAAGUCAGAGUGCUGCAGGAAGAAUGAUGCUUGCCUGUUUAAUGGAUAGAAGGCAGUGGAAAAUGGAAUAGGAAUGGAUUUGGGAAAUAGAGAAGUUUGGCCCUGCUGGAGAUUCAAGAACAUAGUGAGGGAGCUGUGGCAAUGGGGCUGUAGAAAAUGGUAGAACUGGAUUAACAUGAGCCUUGUAUGCCAUACUAAAAAUAUGGUCUUUAUCUCAUUUGCAAAGCGGAGCCAGUUGAGGUCCUUCUUCUGCCCCAAUCAAAAUAUAUUUAUUAUUUUCUCAUUAUACAACAAAUACAUGCUUGUAAUAAAAAAUUCAAACCAUACUGAAGUAUAGGUAAGGCGUGGUGGCUCACACCUGUAAUCCCAGCACUUUGGGAAGCUGAGUGGGACUGACUGCUUGAGCCUACGAAUUUCAGACCAGCCUGGACAACAGGGUGAAACCCUACCUCUAUAACAAAUACAAAACAUUAGCUGGGCAUGGUGGUGCAUGCCUCUGCUCCCAGAUAUUUGGGAGGCUGAGAAGUGGGAGGAUUCCCUGAGCCCAGGAGAUCAAGGCUGCUGUGAGCCGUGAUUGCGGCACUGCUCUCCAGCCUAGGCGACAGAACAGGAACCUGCUUCAAAAAAAAAAAAAAAAAAAAGAAAGAAAGAAAGAAAGAAAAGAAAUAUAUACAUUGGAAAGAAGAAAUUGCCUGUAUUCUUACCCAUAGAGCUAGUCACUAUUAAAAGUUUGAUGUAUGUUAUGUAUCAAAGCCCAUGGGCUGGGUGCCAUAGCUCACGCCUGUAACCCCAGCACGUCAGGAGGCUGAGGCUGGAUGAUUGCUUGAGCCCAGGAGUUGGAGACUAUCCUGGGCAACACAGGGAGACCCUGUUUCUACAAAAAAUUUAAAAGUUAGCUUGAUGCACUGGCAUAUGCCUGUAGUCCCAGCUACUCUGGAGGCUGAGGUGGGAGGAUUGCUUGAGCCCAGGAGGUCGAGGCUGCAGUGAACUAUGAUCGUGCCACUGCAUUCCAGCCAGGGUGACAUAGCAAGACCCUAUCUUAAAAAUACCAACCAAACAAACAAAAACCAAACCCACCAACCAAAGACCAUAAGAACCAUAUAAUGUUAAACAAAGUUUAUUUAGUUUGCUGCAGCAAACAAGAAUGAGAACACACCACAGCAACUAUGGGGUGUGUUAUUAAGAAGGAAUUGGGAAGGGCUUAUUUUAAGAUUUAAGCUUGGAGGUCACUUCAAAUAAAUUCACAUUUUUAUACCUAUGUAUUAAGAAUUAGUUCAUAAAUGUAAUUGUUGCAUCGUAUA